UACGGAGGGGGCAAGCGUUGUUCGGAAUUACUGGGCGUAAAGGGCGCGCAGGUGGCCUGCUAAGUCGAACGUGAAAUCCCCGGGCUCAACCCGGGAACUGCGUCCGAUACUGGUUGGCUUGAAUCCGGGAGAGGGAUGCGGAAUUCCAGGUGUAGCGGUGAAAUGCGUAGAUAUCUGGAGGAACACCGGUGGCGAAGGCGGCAUCCUGGACCGGCAUUGACGCUGAGGCGCGAAAGCCAGGGGAGCAAACGGG
rnacentral:rRNA from 1 species